UACAGAGGUCCCAAGCGUUGUUCGGAUUCACUGGGCGUAAAGGGUGCGUAGGUGGCGGGGUAAGUCUGAUGUGAAAUCUCCGAGCUUAACUCGGAAACUGCAUCGGAUACUGCCUUGCUCGAGGGUUGGAGGGGGACUGGAAUACUUGGUGUAGCAGUGAAAUGCGUAGAUAUCAAGUGGAACACCAGGUGGCGAAGGCGAGUCCCUGGACAACUCCUGACACUGAGGCACGAAAGCUAGGGGAGCAAACAGG
rnacentral:rRNA from 1 species